UACGAAGGGUGCGAGCGUUGUCCGGAAUUACUGGGCGUAAAGCGUGCGCAGGCGGUUCUAUAAGACAGAUGUGAAAUCCCCGGGCUCAACCUGGGAACUGCAUUUGUGACUGUAGAGCUGGAGUACGGCAGAGGGGGAUGGAAUUCCGCGUGUAGCAGUGAAAUGCGUAGAUAUGCGGAGGAACACCGAUGGCGAAGGCAAUCCCCUGGGCCUGUACUGACGCUCAUGCACGAAAGCGUGGGGAGCAAACAGG
rnacentral:rRNA from 1 species